AUCUCUUCAUGGCCUUUGGCUAAGAUCAAGUGUGGUAUCUGUUCUUAUCAGCUUAAAAUCUGAUAUGUCCUCUAUUCAAGCACAAUAUAUUAAAUGUAUUUUUGAGCAAGGAGUUGGAAUAGGAGCUUGCUCCAACCAUUCCAUACACCUGGUACUACAGUACCUCCAGGAAUGGUGCACUCCAC
ensembl:snRNA U2 U2 spliceosomal RNA